GCAUGGGACUGAGCCAGAAAGAAUGCAUGUGGCAGUUAUUCCUGAGCUAGAGAAGGACAGACUGUCAACCUUCACUUCCUAGGGAUGUCAUGGGAUUCCAUUAACCCAUUUCCCUCCAGGAGCUGAGCUCUUGAGGGAAAGAAGAAGAUUACAUCUUUUCUCCCUCCAUUCUUCCUCUCUCCUUGCCCAACAAGGUAGAGGAGAACCAAGACAGGAGUGCCAAAAUGCCAUCUACAAAAGAUCAUCGAACUAUUCUAGAGCUGAGUCAAGUCAAUGCACUUGUGAAAUAUUCAGGAAGAAAAAUAAUUCCUGCCUUUAAUAAAUGUAGAGCCUAAUAGGGGAAGAUAACAUAAAAAAGGGAUUAGAAAAAUGAGAGGGAGAGAAUAAAGUAUGAAAUUCCUUGGGUAUCA
rnacentral:lncRNA from 1 species